UACGGAGGGGGCAAGCGUUGUUCGGAAUUACUGGGCGUAAAGGGCGCGUAGGCGGUUCGCUAAGUCGGAUGUGAAAACUCUGGGCUCAACCCAGAGCCUGCAUCCGAAACUGGCGGGCUAGAGUUCUGGAGGGGGUAGCGGAAUUCCUGGUGUAGCGGUGAAAUGCGUAGAUAUCAGGAGGAACACCGGUGGCGAAGGCGGCUACCUGGACAGAAACUGACGCUGAGGCGCGAAAGCUAGGGGAGCAAACAGG
rnacentral:rRNA from 1 species